GAUGAACGCUGGCGGCGUGCCUAAUACAUGCAAGUCGAGCGAACGGACGAGAAGCUUGCUUCUCUGAUGUUAGCGGCGGACGGGCGAGUAACACGUGGAUAACCUACCUAUAAGACUGGGAUAACUUCGGGAAACCGGAGCUAAUACCGGAUAAUAUUUUGAACCGCAUGGUUCAAAAGUGAAAGACGGUCUUGCUGUCACUUAUAGAUGGAUCCGCGCUGCAUUAGCUAGUUGGUAAGGUAACGGCUUACCAAGGCAACGAUGCAUAGCCGACCUGAGAGGGUGAUCGGCCACACUGGAACUGAGACACGGUCCAGACUCCUACGGGAGGCAGCAGUAGGGAAUCUUCCGCAGUGGGCGAAAGCCUGACGGAGCAACGCCGCGUGAGUGAUGAAGGUCUUCGGAUCGUAAAACUCUGUUAUUAGGGAAGAACAUAUGUGUAAGUAACUGUGCACAUCUUGACGGUACCUAAUCAGAAAGCCACGGCUAACUACGUGCCAGCAGCCGCGGUAAUACGUAGGUGGCAAGCGUUAUCCGGAAUUAUUGGGCGUAAAGCGCGCGUAGGCGGUUUUUUAAGUCUGAUGUGAAAGCCCACGGCUCAACCGUGGAGGGUCAUUGGAAACUGGAAAACUUGAGUGCAGAAGAGGAAAGUGGAAUUCCAUGUGUAGCGGUGAAAUGCGCAGAGAUAUGGAGGAACACCAGUGGCGAAGGCGACUUUCUGGUCUGUAACUGGCGCUGAUGUGCGAAAGCGUGGGGAUCAAACAGGAUUAGAUACCCUGGUAGUCCACGCCGUAAACGAUGAGUGCUAAGUGUUAGGGGGUUUCCGCCCCUUAGUGCUGCAGCUAACGCAUUAAGCACUCCGCCUGGGGAGUACGACCGCAAGGUUGAAACUCAAAGGAAUUGACGGGGACCCGCACAAGCGGUGGAGCAUGUGGUUUAAUUCGAAGCAACGCGAAGAACCUUACCAAAUCUUGACAUCCUUUGACAACUCUAGAGAUAGAGCCUUCCCCUUCGGGGGACAAAGUGACAGGUGGUGCAUGGUUGUCGUCAGCUCGUGUCGUGAGAUGUUGGGCUAAGUCCCGCAACGAGCGCAACCCUUAAGCUUAGUUGCCAUCAUUAAGUUGGGCACUCUAAGUUGACUGCCGGUGACAAACCGGAGGAAGGUGGGGAUGACGUCAAAUCAUCAUGCCCCUUAUGAUUUGGGCUACACACGUGCUACAAUGGACAAUACAAAGGGCAGCGAAACCGCGAGGUCAAGCAAAGCCCAUAAAGUUGUUCUCAGUUCGGAUUGUAGUCUGCAACUCGACUACAUGAAGCUGGAAUCGCUAGUAAUCGUAGAUCAGCAUGCUACGGUGAAUACGUUCCCGGGUCU
rnacentral:rRNA from 1 species